rnacentral:misc_RNA from 1 species
GAUGAAGAACGUAGCGAAAUGCGAUACUUGGUGUGAAUUGCAGAAUCCCGUGAACCAUCGAGUCUUUGAACGCAAGUUGCGCCCGAAGCCAUCAGGUUGAGGGCACGUCUGCCUGGGCGUCACAUAUCGUUGCCCAAUGCCUAUUGCAGUGCAGUAGGAAUUUCUAGGGCGAAUGAUGGCUUCCCGUGAGCGUUGUUGCCUCGCGGUUGGUUGAAAAUCGAGUCCUUGGUAGGGUGUGCCAUGGUAGAUGGUGGUCGAGUUAGAACGAUACCGAUCAUGUGCAUGCUCCCCAAAAUAUGGCCUCUAUGACCCACACGCGUCUUUUGACGCUCAUGACGAGACCUCAGGUCAGGCGGGGCUACCCGCUGAAUUUAAGCAUAUCAAUAAGCGGAGGA